GGAAAUGAAGUUUUGUCACUUCAGUAAAUGAAUGCUACCAUCAGUGUUGCAAGGUAACAAAUUUUUUCAUAGCCUUUCUGCAUAGUUUUGUGCUAGGGGAGGAUAGAAAACCAGGAUAUUUUAUGGUCACCAACAUAAGACAUUAAUAAACACAGACUCAAAGAACUUUGAGAAGUGUGCCUAAUUAGUUUUUAUUUAGAAAAUCUGUUUUGGAAAACAGAGUCACAGCGAACAGUAAGGAAUAAUUAUUACAGAUUACAUUGGGAGGCAAAGUCUAUUAAAGCAGAAGACACAAAAGCAAGGAUAAAAAGGAAUUUUUCAAAUAUUUAAAGUGUAUCAAAUAAAUUAUUCACAUAAAGUGGAACUAAGUAAAAAUAUAGGUUCAAUUUCCAGGAAUGAUUUCCUUUAUAAAUUGCAAAACUGUAAUAUGAAUGAAUUUGCAUUAGGUGCACUUGUGAGGCUUGUAAUGGUGGCCUCUCCUUAUGGAAGCAAAUCAACACUUUAUUCAGAUAUCUGCUUGUUCUGGCAUUGCUGUAGCAUCUGCUAAGAAGAUCUUGUAUAGAUUUCAGUCUUCUUCAUAAAAAGUUGUUCUACAGCUGAAGAAAUUUGUGUGAACACAGUCUGUUCUCUUUCAAAACAAACUAAACAAACUUUCAAUACAAACUAAGAAUGCUAGUCCAGGUGUGUGGAAAGCCACUCAGGAAGAGUUUAGAGUAACAGAUUCAGCUGUCAUUGAUUGGUUUUUGGCAGAGAAAUGAACACUUCCAAAGUGUUAAAAAUAUGAGGUACACUAGUUAUAAUGAGGAUAAUCAUUAUGACAGCAGAUUAUUACAGGAGAUGGUAAGUGCUGUACUGAAUGCCUUUGUAAAAACGGUGUCUAACUCACUCACAAAUUGUGGAACUCACAGGAGUCACUGGGUGAAAUUCCCUGCCCUGUGUUAUGGGUAGAAUCAGAAUGGGUGAUUACAGGGGUAUCUUUUAAAUCUAUGAACCUUUAAAACUAGGCUAUUAUUUCACAUAUAUUUUUUUAUGUCUACAAUCUUUUCUUCCUAUAACCCCCCCUUGUCACUGUAGUUGCUCAGAUUUGCCAGGUUAUCUCUUCAUCUUCAACAAUAUGUUACAUUUUACUACUUGUGAAUAUAACUUAGUGAUGAAUUCUUUCAGGUGCUGCUUUCUUGCUUGCUUUCAAGAAUGUUUGUGUUCUUGAACUAGAAGGCAAAAACACAAAUAAGAAAAAAACCCCAGGAUCAUCCUUGAUGACAUUCAAGAUGUUACUGUGGAAGGUAUUAACAUAUUAUACGCUUUUAUAAGCAGAUUUCAGUAUAUCAUGUUAUGUUAUAAACAAGAGGAUACAAUAAUUGAAAAUUUAUGUUUUGUUCUGUAAUAUCUGUAUGUCCAAAAGUCUCUCUGAUGAGUGUUGUCUUUCUGUCAACCACUGCUGCAGAAAUGCAACUUUAAAAUGUCUUUAAAACUGUGUAAUUAAUGUUUUUAACCUCUUACAGUUAACAUAAGAGCAUAUUAACAUUUAACAUAUGCAGUUUUAUUUACUGUGCUCAACCUGAAUUGAAAUCCUAUGAUUUUAGCAUCUGUUUGAGACACCAAAGUGGGCCUGGGCAUCCAAAUUUGGGCUGUUAGCUCUGGUUGAAUAAUUUAGGUUACUACAAGGAUUGUAGGGGGAAGUAACACAGUACCUGUGUAAUUCAUGCUUCUAAACCGUCAUGACUACAAAAGACUUAUAGGCACAUCUUUGUAGUUUUGCUGCUUAUUAGAUGGAUCAGUCACUUGUAAGUACUGUAGUGUCAUUUUGUUGUAAAAAAUACGCGUAUUAUGAAAAGCUGAGCACAAAUUUAUAAGGUUGAAUGUUACUAAUGAGAGCAGGUUGAGUAGAGCUGUAGCUGGAUGUGCAUAGUGACAAAAUUACAGUUUUGGCAAUGUACCUGGCUAAAUUUAUUUUCACCUUACGUGAAAUAAUUAAAAAGUUGCACCUUCAUAUAAAUGACUCCUUAUGCGUGUGAACACUCAUUUGUAUGUACAAAACCAUGUUUCAGCAAGUGUCUGACAAUGAUAUUUCACCCUGACAGAAUUUUUAUUUUUUUGUAAUUAAUCUUUUGCCGCAUUAAUUAAACGUGCCAAAAGUCUGUAUAAAAUACAUAAUGAAAGUUUUGUUCCACAGAACCUAUUUUAGAGGCCUUAUGAGAAAAAAGCACUUGCACAGUGAGAAAAAA